GUUCUUCUUUUUCCUCGCCGAGGUUCGCUCUCAAUCACCGCUCCAGAGCACUCCAGUUGGAAUCCACAAAACUCAGACCCAACCAGGCAACACCGACACCAAAUGAAAAACUGCACCAUUCGUCGUCACUCAGGGCAACCCAUAUGUAUUUCCAAUUUGAACAUGUAGAAAAUCAAUGCAUUGUCGAAACACGUGAAAAAUAUAUAUGUCGAGCUAACAUCCACACUUUUCGUGUUCAGAGGUUUAUAUAUGUAUCUGAAUAUACUUCAAACUUCAUCCACGGAAAAUGUCAUCACAACUAAAGAAUGUUAGUACAUUAUUAACUAUCCUUAAUACUCAUCUGUUCUCCAUGCAUUCAUUGGAGGAUGAUCUUGAUAAUUGCCUUCUCUCUCUAGCCUGACUUGGCUUCUAGAAUGGAAGUGGAACCCUAACCCAAGCAAGUGCCACCAACCUCUAGCUCAAUUGAGAACACUACCAUGAUAACACCUUGGACCCUUAUGGCAGUCAAAUUCCAUCCUCAUCAAGUGUGGGUUCGUCGGAAGUUAAAAAAGAUAAAGUAAAAUAGUCAGAGGAUGAGACAGUGUGUGGUAUCGUCUGGGCAUAGAUAGGGGUGGUCAAUGCAGCUGGGCUGAGGUGACUGCUAUUGAUCCCCACUCAA
rnacentral:lncRNA from 1 species